rnacentral:rRNA from 1 species
AGUAACGAUAAAGCGGGUGAAAAGCCCGCUCGCCGGAAGACCAAGGGUUCCUGUCCAACGUUAAUCGGGGCAGGGUGAGUCGACCCCUAAGGCGAGGCCGAAAGGCGUAGUCGAUGGGAAACAGGUUAAUAUUCCUGUACUUGGUGUUACUGCGAAGGGGGGACGGAGAAGGCUAUGUUGGCCGGGCGACGGUUGUCCCGGUUUAAGCGUGUAGGCUGGUUUUCCAGGCAAAUCCGGAAAAUCAAGGCUGAGGCGUGAUGACGAGGCACUACGGUGCUGAAGCAACAAAUGCCCUGCUUCCAGGAAAAGCCUCUAAGCAUCAGGUAACAUCAAAUCGUACCCCAAACCGACACAGGUGGUCAGGUAGAGAAUACCAAGGCGCUUGAGAGAACUCGGGUGAAGGAACUAGGCAAAAUGGUGCCGUAACUUCGGGAGAAGGCACGCUGAUAUGUAGGUGAAGUCCCUCGCGGAUGGAGCUGAAAUCAGUCGAAGAUACCAGCUGGCUGCAACUGUUUAUUAAAAACACAGCACUGUGCAAACACGAAAGUGGACGUAUACGGUGUGACGCCUGCCCGGUGCCGGAAGGUUAAUUGAUGGGGUCAGCGCA